UUAUGUUUUUGUAGGUAGCCACGGCAGCUGCACUCUGUGCAUUCAAGUUACGUCGUCCAGUGCGGAUGUAUCUCAACCGCAGUACUGACAUGAUCAUGAUCGGGGGUCGUCACCCCAUAAAAGCAUAUUACUCUGUUGGUUUCAGGUCUGAUUGGAGAAUCACAACCUUGCAUCUGGACAUACUAAUCGAUGCUGGAAUUUCUCCAGAUGCUAGCCCCAUAAUGCCAGACACCAUCAUUUCAGGUCUGAAGAAAUACAACUGGGGUGCUCUCUCGUUCGACAUCAAGCUCUGCAAAACAAACAACACAUCCAAGUCAGUAAUGCGUGCUCCUGGAGACGCUCAAGGAUCUUUUAUCGCUGAAGCUAUCAUUGAGCAUGUCGCUUCGGUGUUGUCACUCGAUGCUAAUAGUGUCAGGAAGAAGAAUUUCCACACCUAUGACAGUCUUGUGCUGUUCUAUCCAGAAAGCACAGGCGAAGCUUCUGCGUACACAUUGCAUUCUAUCUUUGAUAGGUUACUCAUGACAUCGAGCUACCUGCAUCGAGCCGGAUCCAUCAGGCAGUUCAACAGCUGCACCAAGUGGCGAAAGCGGGGUAUCUCUUGUGUGCCCCUCGUCUUCAAGGUGGCACCAAGGCCAGCUCCUGGAAGAGUUUCUGUGCUCAACGAUGGUUCCAUUGUGGUUGAGGUUGGAGGCAUUGAGAUUGGGCAAGGGCUGUGGACCAAAGUACAGCAAAUGACAACUUUCGCUUUGGGACAGCUGUGGCCUGAUGGAUGUGAAUCCCUUCUUGAUAGAGUGCGUGUUCUUCAGGCUGAUACACUGAACUUGAUCCAAGGUGGGCUCACCGCCGGCAGCACUUCGUCUGAAUCUAGCUGUGCAGCAACCCUUGAGGCCUGCAACAUGCUGGUUGACAGAUUAAAGCCAGUCAUGGAGAAGCUCAAGCAGCAAUCCGGCGGUGCUGUUUCAUGGGAUGCUUUGAUUGCUCAGGUUAUUUUCUUUAUUUUCCUCUGGGUUUUUAUGCUACAGAAGUGUAAAAUGUUUGUGUGUGGAAAUUGUUAUCUUUAUACUUGCUAACACUUUCCCAAAUAGGCCAUUAAGGAUAAUGUUAAUUUGUCCUCAAGUGCAUACUGGGUACCUGGCCUAGAAUCCAGCACCUAUCUAAACUAUGGAGCUGCUAUAAGUGAGGUACAGAAAUAUUCUGCUAAAUGUCAAUCACACUAGUAUAGUUCAAUUGUUACUGGAUGGGAUAUUGUGAUACUUUUCUAACUUCCUUUUCACUUUUUACUAAAAAAUCAGGUAGAGAUUGAUCUUCUUACAGGAGCUAUUACUUUACUACGGAGCGACCUUGUGUAUGACUGUGGAAAGAGUUUGAACCCUGCAGUGGACUUGGGCCAGGUUUGAGAUAUUUUCCACAGCGCUAUGCUCUUCUUUUAUCAUUUUGUAGUGAACAUGGAUAUUAUUUGAUAAUGCCUUACUUCGAAACAGAGCGAGUACAUUAGAUUGCAGCCCUGAUCAGGGUUUUUCUUCAUUAUAGUACAUGAUGGCAUCACAUAUUCAUAUCUGAUCUCUCUACCGUCCACCUUACAGAUUGAAGGCUCCUUCAUACAAGGAAUUGGUUUCUUCAUAAACGAAGAACACGAAACAAAUGCCGAUGGACUGGUUGUGAGCGACAGCACAUGGGUCUACAAGAUCCCGAGCGUGGACACCAUCCCGAAGCAGUUCAACGCUGAGGUGCUCAACAGUGGGUACCAUAAGAACCGUGUUCUUUCGUCAAAAGGUAUGUAGUAGGAUAGUGCUUUCCCCUGAACUGAAGCAACAUGAAUAUAGUUUUACUAUUUUGCCAGUUGAAAUUAUCAUUGGUUAAAGUGAUUUAACUAGUCUGCCUCUGCCAGCCUCUGGGGAACCUGCCCUGGUUCUCGCAGCAUCGGUCCAUUGCGCGGUGAGAGAGGCCAUCCGAGCGGCGAGGAAGGAGUUUGGAAGCUCAGAGCUCAUCUUCCAGCUCGACGUCCCUGCGCCGAUGACCCAUGUGAAGGAAAUGUGUGGUUUGGACAUCGUGGAUAAGCGGGAGCUACUACAAUAGAAAAACAGCCACCGGUAGAAAAAUAGAAAAAAUCUAUAUGAGCCGUCAGUUCCAGGAUGGAUGGUCCAGAUUGUGGGGGGUGGAUGUGAGCACACACUUGCUGGCUUCUUUGCACAAAACUCCCUCACUUCUACUUAUUUACCUCUCGUACCGAUAGCACCAGGCCAGCAGCUCACGCCCAAAUUCCCCAACCCUAGCUUGCGUACAAGCCGCCUCCUGGACCAAUCCUCUGGUCCAUCUUCCUCCGGCUUGCCGACGGUGGCGGCGAUCCAGAUCCGGUGCCUAGCUGGGCGAGUAUGCCUAGCGGAGGUCCCGUUCCAGCUUCUGUUCGUCUCAUCGCCGGCGGUCUGGCUGCCCCGGCGGACCUCGCUCUGUCCUAAGAGAACAAGAACUGGAUGGUACUCUUCUCUGGCGACCAGAGGUCGACCUCGCCCCAUUCUUUUUUCUACCUCAACCCGCCAUUCUCCACAUGUCGCCACCCACCCCGCCGACGUCGGAGAAGAAAACUCCAAUCUGAAGGUAUGCUCAUCUGUGAGUCUGCUGUCAAUUUCAGAGUUAAUUUUGUAGCCUUUUAUCUAGAAAGUAUUUUGGUUCAGAUUUUACUACAACUGUCCAUAUCAUGUAAAUAAUACCUGAGUUCCUCCAAUCGAGAGAAGAUUUAUAAAUUUUGAAUGUUUGGAAGUGAUAUGAAUGUCUACAUUUUUUAAAUUUGAACAUAUGCACAUACAGUGUAGAUGAUAUAAUUUGAUCGUCACUAGCAGUAGCUUGGAAGCUUGGAACGGUUUUUGAGAAAAUGCAAUAUUCACAUAGAUAUGCCUGAGCAGUACAGUAGCUAACCCACUAGCAGGACACUAUGCUAUAUAUAUAGGGAGCUAAAGGAAAUUGCUUAGGACAGAAAAUCCAUCAAUCCAACGGAAUAACCAUAUUGCCAGCAUAUAUGCUUAUUCACAUCUUUUCGAUCAAGCUAAAAAUCACCUGUGAUACAUGUCAACUAUACUGCAAAUCCUGGUUAGUAUGUACUUGCACUUUUCUGAGCCGAAUUCAGUUAAUUUGGAGAGACCUUUAUCAGUGUUCAUUUACCAUCACAAAAACAGAAAUUCUGCAAACUCACCGGGUACUGUACAUGAGAAGAAACUAAUCUCAUCUACCUAUUAAAGUACCUGAACGUGAAGUGCGCAUGCAGGCACAAGACUGAAAUUUAUUCAAUACAUGCAAAUAUGUGGCACUUCACUGAUUUAUGGGAAUUCACUAUCUUUUUGGAUUUUUUUUGUAGGACACAAUUUCUGUUCUAAGUAUGAUGGAUACAUCGGAGCUUGUCGACUAGUGCUACGCUCCGCAACUACCAUUCUGCUACUGCAUGUCAAUCUAAUUGGAGGGAAGUAGUGCGACGUCACCUUUAGGAGAGCCUACAGUUCCAAUAAUCAUAAACUGUGUACCAGCACUAUCAUGUGAGAACACACAAUCCAAAAAGGCAAGAGUAUCUUGUCAUUACCUAAUAUUAUGUUAAUCCCUUCUUUGAUGUUGUUUGCUGAAAAUUAUUUGCAGCCGUGGAAUCUGUCAACAGUGUUCAAAAUCAAGAUUUCAGCGAUGCUACCUCAUUAGCAGAGAUUAAUUCUCCAAUGCUUCUCAUUGAUGAUUUCGGUACACCGAAAACGGAACAAUCCUUCUCUCAAGAGGUACCCACACUGGCCACAGCUUGUAAUGCUCGUUAAAUGCCUUGAAUAAGGCCAAUAGUAGUUCAAUUUUGUCUGUUUCAAAUUGUGUUGUUUGUUGUGAUAAAAUGAGAUCUCAUAAGUGAAUAGCAUGUGGUCUUUACAAGUCCAUAUGACAUCAUGUUUUUCAUGCGAGGUCAGUGGUACUAAACUUGCAAUUGCUGUUGCAGGGUUCUUUGUAUAAACCCCCAGUGUGACGACGAAUUGAAGCCCAAAGUAGGGAUGAUAUUUGAUGAUAUUGGCUCGGUACUAGAUUUUUACAGGACAUAUUACACGAUGUUGAAUUUGGUGUACGUCUUGGACAACAAAAGGUCAUUGAUAAUGUGCUUCAGUGGAAGCGCUUCUUGAAUGCGAACGAAAGCUUUCGUCCUGAGAAAGAUAACUUGCAAUUGAUGAUGCAACAUUUCUAAGGAAGUGGUGUUCCAUGAUGCAAGAGCAUACUCUAAGAAAGAAACGACACUGUAGUAGAGGUAUGUGCUUCUUCUUGCUUCGAAGACUACCACUUAUUUGUUUUGCUUUGUCUCCUCAACUAGGUUGAUUGAAACUCCGGCUUAGAUAGAUCAUUUACCCAAGAUAUGUAUGCCUUUCAGUUUGACUGGCCUUUGGUAUCGCUAAAGAUGUAUGUAUGUGAUUUAGUAUCAAUCCUUCUUCGAUGACAUUAGCAUAUCUGGUAUCUUGUUUAUUAUUAUUUUCCUGUGCUAUUGUAGUUUUCGUAUUAUUACAAGGUAUAGCAUAAUGCAUGCCAUCUAAUUAUUUGUUUAUAAUCUGCAUCUGUAGGACUAUCAUAAAUCUCCCUUUAAAUUUCUCGAUGUCCUUCUAUUUGUCCUUACCAUUUAUAUGUUUAACCUAUUCCAUGAAACUAUAAUCUAUUGAUCGGAAGUCUAUGCAUGGAUGUGCAAGCUUUGACCCCCUGUGAAUCUGGAGCCUACGUUCAUAUUUUCUCAAGGUAUCCAGAUAGAUUUUUGCAUGCCCAGUUUGCUUGUAUCUAAUUUUGCAAGGUAUUUUACAUAUGCCAUGGCCUACUAGAGUAUCCGAACAAUAACUAUUGAGCUCUUUAUUAGGUCAGUUGUGGCAAAUGGCUUAAAGUACUAUCUGGUCCUUCUAUAUGUUUGAGGAAUUUCAUCCUAAGUUUGACAUCUAGGUUAUGUAUCAUGGGUUGGAGCAGCAAACGAAGCUGGACAUAAUGACCACCACUCUUCUCAAAAUGUGUUGUAUGCAAUUCGUACAUGUUUCUAACAUACUCAUGUUUAUUUUCUGUGGUUAACUAGGUGGAUUGAACCGAUGAAGGGUAUAUAGAGUCCAUGGAGGUUGCCAUAUAUUCCAACAGAUGAAAGCUCGAUUAUCAAGAAUCACUAAAAUAGGAGGCAAAAUGAUAGAUCUUUUUUGGCAUGUACCAUCAGGUCCUUAAUACUUGGUCUUCAUGCAAAUGUACUAAAAAUGAUAUAUGUUUGCCUCUUGCGUUGUGUUCUUAUGUACUCAAAUACUCGAAUGCUUGUUGAGUAGUGAUAACUUACUCAGAUGCUUCUAGUUACAUGUAAAUGUACAAAGUUUAGCUUGAUCUGGGAUGGCUUAAUUUCCUCAUGUGCUCAAAUUUAGGGGGUUUUGUGGUCAACAUGUUCAACUCUCUUGAAUAAUUAGGACUUUGUAUUAUGAAGAGGAGAGGGGCAUCAGCGUUUUGUGCAUAUAUGAAAAUGGUCUUAUAUUUUUCCACAGCCAAAGAGGAGACAUCAACGCUGUCAGGUUUGAAAAAUAGUCAAGGACAAAAUGAUUGGAUAUGAGAAAGUUAAGGUGGUUACUGCAAAAGUGAAGUUUUAUAUCUAAGUAGUAUCAGGGGGUUUUCAUGAAAUCUACCUGAGCUGCCUCCACUAGAAUCUGUACCAUCCAUGCUUGAUCUGAUGGCCCAGAUUCGUUUUUCUAUUCUUCUACCAUAUGCCCAGAUUCUACACUAGUUGCUCUAAGUGCCUAGAAAGCCUAUCUGAGCAUCAGUCUCGAGCUGCGGCAUGAUGCAAGAUUCCGGUGCCGUCAACUGGAAGGAGCGGUGUGGUGUGAUCGUGUUGUGCAAAGUCGAAUGGUAAAUUGCGGACAUUAUGUUCAAAGCGUUUGUAAUUUUUCAGUGCUGUGCUUGCACGCUUUUCAAAUAAUCCUGGGUUGAGAUCUGUGUUUGUAAUUCCUGACUGAACCUGAAGUCAGGUUUUCUCUUUAAAAUGCAUGUUUUAUAAAUAGUAAUACGCGUUUGCUAUUUGCAAAAUGCAACUUGCAUCAGUCGACUUGGGAAGAGAAGACGACGCCGUGUUGCUAGUGGNNNNNNNNNNNNNNNNNNNNNNNNNNNNNNNNNNNNNNNNNNNNNNNNNNNNNNNNNNNNNNNNNNNNNNNNNNNNNNNNNNNNNNNNNNNNNNNNNNNNNNNNNNNNNNNNNNNNNNNNNNNNNNNNNNNNNNNNNNNNNNNNNNNNNNNNNNNNNNNNNNNNNNNNNNNNNNNNNNNNNNNNNNNNNNNNNNNNNNNNNNNNNNNNNNNNNNNNNNNNNNNNNNNNNNNNNNNNNNNNNNNNNNNNNNNNNNNNNNNNNNNNNNNNNNNNNNNNNNNNNNNNNNNNNNNNNNNNNNNNNNNNNNNNNNNNNNNNNNNNNNNNNNNNNNNNNNNNNNNNNNNNNNNNNNNNNNNNNNNNNNNNNNNNNNNNNNNNNNNNNNNNNNNNNNNNNNNNNNNNNNNNNNNNNNNNNNNNNNNNNNNNNNNNNNNNNNNNNNNNNNNNNNNNNNNNNNNNNNNNNNNNNNNNNNNNNNNNNNNNNNNAGAGGAGGCUUGGGCAGGGUGGGGCGGCAAGGCGCGCGUAGCAGCAUUGCCUGCCGCGGGUGUAGGUGGUCGCCAAAGUUGAGCAACUAGAUAUGUUUUUACUUCUUCGGAAAAUAGAUAGAGGAACUAGAUAUGAGUGCGGCCGUCCUGGACGCAGAAAUCCAGCCACCUGCUGCGCCAAGGUGAUGCGUGCACGAAAUGAGGGGAAAAGUCACAACGGAUGCAUACAUUGCUAUAUACACUUCAAUACCAUGGCCACUUGUGCUCUGUGGCUCGCACGGUGCGGGUACGCAUCUGACGCAAAGGGACAACCUUGCAGGGCGCGGUGACAUUUUUUACCACAUGGGACCCGGCUGUCGUUUUGGGUACAGUGUCCUGGACGACGCAGGUUUGUUUGCGUGUGCCUGCGACCCACCUCUCGCACUCGACAGACCAAGAACCGGCAUUGGGCGACAGGUUAGUAAAACUCCGAGGCUCUAUUUUGUUCUUGCCGGUUGCCCGCGCUGGUCUGUGCUAUCCCCCCGUCCUUCAUGGUCCCGUCGCCCCCCUUAUGGGUUCUUUUGCGGACUGAUUUUUGCAGAUUGGCCGGCACGGGGAGCGCUCCAGAUCCGCCGGUCCCCGAAGCGCAGGUGUUGGGGGUGCACCUAGCGCCCGGGCCGCCUGGGCAGCAGCAGAUCUGCAACACGCCAGAUGUGCAAUCAUCGGGUGCGUCCUGCACGACAUUGAGCUCUAGCGGUGGCGGUUGGCCAUCGGCGGACGCAGGAACUGGCGCACAUUCGUCGGGCGCGCCCGCACUUAGCCAUGACAGCCCCGGCAGCUCGCUGGGCGCCGCGGCUACCUACAACGGUGGUUCUGUAUCUCCGGUUCUAGUGAUCUGUCUUGUGCCUUUGUGUCGGAGUAAAUGACCACGGGUAGCCUAACCGACUCCUCCUGGCUCUUCAAAAAUUAUCGGGCCGAUCGAGCCUUCAAGCACCCAAAGCAUAGGGCCGCCUUCCCCUGGCAGGCUAUCUCACAGGCCGACUACUGGAAGGCGGUCCGGCCCUAAAACCCUCCCGAAGGGAGCCACAAGAAGGCCGACUCCAAGAAGCCGGCCAUAAGAAGACCGACUCCACGAUGCCGGCCACAAGAGGGCCGGCUCCCGGCAAGCGGCCAAGAUUGCACCCUCAAGGACUGCACCCACAUAACGGUGACGAGACGGGGCGUGGCUACGGUAAAGCCUGCCACCCCCGAAUCCCGGAGCACGCAUGGCCACAGUGCGCCGUAUGGGUCGGCCAUCCCCGUCCGGCGCGUCACUGUUGCCAUGUUGACCAUGACGCCACCCACGACAGGCUGUCAGUACGGCCCGCGGGCGGCGGGCCCCUUUAGCCAGAGAGACGCUCGAAGGCGGCCAAGCCUUCCCCAGUCGGCCUGGGGUGUAGCCGCCUCCCAAUAGCCGGCUACCUCACUCCCUCAAAGUAUGUGCAUCAUUAAGAAGACAAAACGAGGUAAGGCUACAGUGAGAGCCCGCCAGACGGCGGCACUAUAGCCAUGCUUACCUCGGCAAAGCCCUCGUCAUCAGAGGCGAGGCUACAGUAACCAGCCGCCGGCAAUACCCCCGGGCGGUGGGGCCGGCCUGUCGGCCAAGAGGCUGGCAGCCGGCGGGCCCCAGCGGCCGGCGGAGAAGCCGGCGGAUACGGACACUGACGGCCUGGACCCGCAUCCAGCCGGAUUACCAUUGUACCCCUGGGGGGUAGGCCUAUAUAAACCCCCUAGGACACCCAUGCAAAAAGUUGAUCUCUUAGAGUUUUAGACACCACAUAGAGAGAAGAGGAGAGCUAGCCUUGCCCUUCUUCCUCCUCUAGCCAAACAGCUCAAGGAGCCACUUGUGUUGAUCUAGUGAUCAUGCGGAGACCCCGCAGAGCAGGACUAGGGGUGUUAUCUCCACGGAGAGCCCCGAACCUGGGUAAGAUUCGUCGGCGUGCAUGUCUUCGCCUUAUCCCGUUUCCAGGCACCGGCGAUGUCUUACUGGCACCCACAAUGAUAAGCCACCCGUUGGCAUAUGUCGCACCUACCACCCGACACUUUGUAUCUCUAUUUGAUCCUGAAGGCUGUAUUUGCACUGGUCUAUUUGCUUUCGAUUGGGAUUCAACAGACUUAUGUUCUGGCUCAUUAAUAAAAGCCAUUUGUUUUCUGCAAAUUACGUUUGUAUUUCCAUGGUAGUUUGAGCUCACCAGGCUGUAUGGGAGUGGUACGGGUGGAGCUUUUCAUCCAAUAACUGAACUAGCUGCGAACUGCUAGCCUUCUCCAAGUUGGGGUGUCAUUAUCGGCAAAAGAAAUCGCUUUGUGGCAGUGAAAUUUAUUUCCCGCUGGACUUGGUAAUGGCACUGACGAUGGCUGUGCUUCACACGUACCACAUGGCCGUGUUGCGCAGACCAGUGUGUCAGUAAGUACUGUCAGCCUGGUCUCUUCCUAAAUACGCAUAUACGUCGCAAAACGGCAUCGACCGCACGACUAUACUCUAGGAAGCAUGCCAGCUUGGUGCGAAUCGCGACGGUCAUCGCGCCGUUGAUGCCGUGCGUGCAGCUGCCGCUGCGUGCAGACCUGCGUUUCUCAACUAGAUAUGUUUUACUUCUUCGGAAACUAGCUUGCCAGUGCGUCUUUCAGUCUUCCGAGCCCAUCAGGCAGGAAAUAUUUCCUGUGGGUGGUGAGGUUCGGCACCAACUCUGAGGGCUCUCCUCACCACAAAGCUUUCCGAUUUCCUCACCAGAUUGUUUGCUGCUAACCAAUAUGCUCGACCAGGAUUUCCUCAACAGAUUGGAUGCUGCUGUCCAAUAGUAUGCUCGACCAGGAAUCCGAUGGGCCAUCAAUGUCGGCUCAACCUUGAUACCUAGAAACCACCAAAGGGACGCAUGUGCUUGCAGGGGGGAAAGCCAAACCAUGGACUGUUCGUCUGGACGUUGGUCUGUCAUACCAGCUUAAUGCUCACAAUGGUAGGAAAAAUUCAAGUUAAAAUUAAGAAAUAUAUGGCCCAUAUGUUUGAGCCACAUAAUAGACAUUAAACUAGGUCCACAUCCUCUAUAACACUAUGCUUCCUAGUUUUAAAGAGUUCACAUUUAACUGUUGUCUCCAACUGGAAUUGGGUCUCCCGAUUUUGAAUGAUCAACAAUUUCUCAAAGCUCUCUUAUUCAAUUCUUUUAUACUCCCUCCGUCCCAAAAUUCUUGUCUUGGAUUUGUCUAAAUACGGAUGUAUCAAGUCACGUUUUAAUAUUAGAUACAUCCGUAUCUAGACAAAUCUAAGACAAGAAUUUUGGGACGGAGGAAGUACUAUACACCGUGCUCUCUAAUUUUUAAGGCCUCAUAAUUAAUUAAGGUCUUCAAUUUAGAAUUUGGUCACCUGAUCAGGUCAACAAUUUCUCAAGGAGCUCUCCAACUCAAUUCUUUUAAUCCCCCAUGUUCCCUAAUUUUGAAGCUCUUUCAUUUAAUUUUAGAUUUGGUUUAUGAUUUUGCGGGGCCAAUGAUUUUUCAAAUCAAUCAGCGGCAACCGACCUAUAAAAACCAUAUCAAUGCCGCACACCCUCUCAUCUCCUAGGAAAAAUAAGCGCCACCAUGUGAUAUUAUAGCACUAAUAUAGUACUCCCUUCGUUUUUAAAUAUAAGCUAUUUUAGAGAUUUCAAUGCGGCCUACAUUCGAUGUAUAUAGACGUAUUUUAGAGUGUAGAUUCACUCAUUUUGCUUUGUAUGUAGUCCAUAUUGAAAUCUCUAAAAGGACUUAUAUUUAGGAACGUAGGGAGUACAUGCAGUCACCGACCCAGAAGUUUCUCCACGUAAAUAUAUGUUGGUUCGUGGAUAACACAGAACCACACCGUGAAAGACCCAUCAAAUCUUUGCAUUAUAAAUAAAAAUAAAACACACUCCAUCAUCUCUCCCACCCGCCAAACUAAAUAUUCCAUUAGUUCCAAAAUAUAAGGGUAUUAGUUAUUUGGAAAGUCAAAUUUCUUUAACUUUGACCAAGUCCAGAGUGAAAAAUAUGAACAUCCACAAUAUUACACAAAAAGUUAUGAAAAUUCAUUUCAUGAUGAAUCUAACCACACCAUUUGAUAUUAUGUAUUUUGAUAUAUUUCUCUACAAUUUUGAUCAAACUUAAAAGGUUUGACUUUAAAAAAAUUACACCUUAUAUUUUGCAACAGAGUGAGUAUUUUUUAAAGAAACCCUACAACACCAAUGACGCAGUAAAGCGUGCCCAACCCUUUUAGUCUAGGUGAAACUGCAUACUGCAAAUGCACAUCAAUGAUUGUUCAUAAUGGUAAGAGAGGUAGACAAACCUCUAAGUACAACUCCGGGGAAUCUAGGCAAGAUAAAAUCUACCACGCAACAAGAGGAACGGCUCUACUCACAAAAUACUUUUAUAGCCACAAGCACCAUAAUUUACAAAUAACAUUAAAUUCUGGGAGUACGCAUGGAGGCAUGUAGCUCUGCCAAAGAUACAAGUAUAGGAGAUAGGUUAAUAUUAUGUGUAAAGAUUGUAUGGUAAUAUAAUUGCAUUGGGGGCUCAUACUAAUGGCUAGCAAGUGAGACUAGUUAUCAAAAUUACAAUCCAAGCCAUGACACUUAGCAUUCUUGCCAUCUGAAUGUUCAUCUGCACUCUCAUACUCGCAAUUGGAUCCAGAUAUGACUAGCAUGUUGCACUUGUAACCAGAUUGACCAUAUGAAUCACAGCAAAAUCCUAUGAAAAUCCUUUGAAUCAAAGGAGCCCUAAAAUGGCAAGUUACCUUGAAUACGAUAGGAUUGUAAGGACGUUUGAUUGUGCACAGGAAAAACAUAGGAUUCUUUGAAAGAGGUUGGAGUGGAUGAAAAUUUUCCUAUGAAAUCAAGUGCAAAUGAAUCCUAAGAAAAAAAUUCUAUGGUUUGCAAUCCUACGAAUCAAACAACCCACGUAGGAAAAAUUCCUCCAAAACACCUUCGAGAAUCCUCUGAAUCAAAGAAGCCCUAAAGGAAUACUUCCUACAAAAUACCUAUCCUUUAGAAUUCCUGAAAAAAAUUACGUACAAUACAUUCAAAGAACAGAUGGUACACCGAUUCAAUCUCGGUACAAUGAAUGCAUUCCAGGGGUUUGGCCAUUCCUCUUUUUCUUAAAUUAUCACAAGUCAUAAUUUUGUUCUGAGAGAACAACCAAAGAAAACCCUGGACCCUAGGUGGCACUUUAAUCUUCCAAACUGCUGACAGGUAAAUAGGUUGCACGCCCCUAAAGUUAAUUAUUGCAUAUAGGGAUUUUGAACAAUAAACCCCUUUAGAUUCAUAUUGCCAGAUCAAGGAGUCAUUUUCCUGGCUAAAUCUAGUGAGUUUGAGAAUAUUAAUCAGGUCGAACCAUUGGACCAUAAGUUCGUCCGAAAAGGUUCUUCUAAAGGAGCAUUUCAAAACUUGACCAUCCCACACUUCUGAGAUAGUUUUGUUUGUCUCAUUAACCAGGUAAUACAUAUCCAGAAUUGUGUAGCCAGAGGAGCAUUUUUGUGCCAAAUGUCUUCCCAGAAUCUAACCUGCUUCCCAUCACCUAGUGCCCACCUAUACCCCAUUCUUACUUCUUGUAGUGCCCAUAAAAACUCUUCCAGAACUGGGAAGAAUAAUUAUCAUGGCAGCAGAGAACAUUGGGGUUUUUGGUGUUGUACUUACUAUCAAUAACCCUCCUCCAGAGGGACCCUUCCCCAGCGAUAUAUCUCUUAACCCAAGAUCAUAUCAAACAUAUAUUCAUAUCCUGCAGAUUUAGCACACCCAUUCCAAACUCCUUUCUCAUGCAAAUAGAUUGCCAGAUAGCAAGGUGAAUUUUAUGACUCCCCUCGCUAUCACUCCACAAACAGUUAGCCAUGUGCGAGUUAAUGAGCUGAAGGGCCCACUUGGGAAACUUAAUAAAAGACAAAAGAUACAAAGGGAUGCUAGCCAAACAUGAUUUGAUUAAAGUAAUUUUCCCCAGGAGAGAUAACAACUGCCUCUCCACCCCGCUAUUCUAGCUAGAAUUUUAUCAAUUAAAAACUGAAGAUCUUCCCUGCUAAGCUUGUUAAAAUGCAAAGGGAUCCCCAAGUAUUUGAUGGGAAACUGCCCAACUACGCAUUGAAAAAUAUCUUUAAUUUUUUUAACUCUGUUGGUUCCACAUUAAUGGGUACUAGGGCACUCUUAUGAUAGUUAAUCCUCAUGUGUGACACUUGUUCAAAACAAGUCAGUAUCCAUUUCAGAUUUAGAGCAACUCUACUAUCUUUUUGUAAGAACAAGAGGGUACCANNNNNNNNNNNNNNNNNNNNNNNNNNNNNNNNNNNNNNNNNNNNNNNNNNNNNNNNNNNNNNNNNNNNNNNNNNNNNNNNNNNNNNNNNNNNNNNNNNNNNNNNNNNNNNNNNNNNNNNNNNNNNNNNNNNNNNNNNNNNNNNNNNNNNNNNNNNNNNNNNNNNNNNNNNNNNNNNNNNNNNNNNNNNNNNNNNNNNNNNNNNNNNNNNNNNNNNNNNNNNNNNNNNNNNNNNNNNNNNNNNNNNNNNCACACACACACACACACAAACUCAGGGCAAAAACCUCUAACCAACCCAGCUUGUGCCCCUUUGAUCAGCAUUCUAAAAAAAACAUCUACUACCAAAUUAAAAAAGGAGGGGAGAGAAAGGAUCUCCUUGUCUCGAGCCUUUGCCUGUUAAGAAGAAAUCACUUUCUUCGCCAUUAAACUUGACUCCAACAGAGUCUCUCUGAGUAAGACUUUUCACCCAUCCUAUCCAUCUUGGGCCAAAGCCCCUAAGAGCUGGCAUUUCAUGCACAAAAUCUAAGUUCACCUUGUCAUAAGCUUUUUCAUAAUCAAUCUUAAAAACUAGUCCUUGUCUGCCUGAAGAAUGUACAGCAUGAACAAUUUCAUGAGUUGUAACCACACUUUCUAAUAUGUACCUCCCCUAAUAGAAGCAGACUGGAAACCAGAGAUCAAUCUACCAAUGAUUAGAGCCAACCUAUUCGUGAGAACCUUAGUAAAGAUCUUAAAGCAACAAUUAAGCAAACUAAUUGGCCUAAAUUUAUUCAUGGAUCUAGCCUCAUUCUCCUUUGGAAUAAAGGUGAUCAUAGUAUUGUUAAGUCUAAAAAUAUCCAAAUCAGCAUCAAACAUCCAAUCAAAUCAUACUUGACCACAUCCCAGAAUUCUUGAAAGAACAUAAAAGGCAGGCCAUCUAGCCCUAGGGCUCCAUCACAGUAAGAGCCAAAGACAGCUGCCUUAAUUUCUUCUUCUAAGAAUUUGGCUUCUAGUCUACUGUUCUCAUCCUCAGUCACUUUCUCUUCUUCUUUAAAGAAGUCAGCGCUAAGGUUAAUGUUAGGUCUAGGUUCCCAAGCAAACAGAUUUUUAUAGUAAUCAACUGCAAUUUUAUGCAUCCCUUUUGGAUCUGAAGUGGGACCAUAUUCCCCAUCCAGAACAUGAAUAAUUUUCUUCCUCCUCCUCUGGUUAGCUACUACAUUGAAAUAAGCAGUAUUUCUAUCCCCUUCUAGAAUAUCCCUAUCUCUAGACCUUUGUCUAUCUUUGAUUUCCUCGACUCUCCAAAUCUCAGAGGGUUCUCUUAAAAUCUCCUCUAAUCUAUGCCUUUCUUCUCUAGAGAGCUCCCCAGACUCAGCUUUGACAUCUAGGGUGUCAUAUUCAAGCAUGAGCUCAAUUUUAUUCUUCCUCGGGAAAGCCUCUAGGUUCCUACUUCACCCUCUGGAUAAUCUCCUAAAGGUUCUAACCUUGUGUUGUCAAACAUCAACCGGAUUCACACUAUUGCAAGUACUAGUCCAGGCUUUAAUCACUAUAUCUUUAAAGUCACUCCUAGUUAUCCACCACUUCUCAAAUUUAAAACUCUUCUUACUAGUAUACUGGCCUUCUCCAGAUUCCCAAACAAGGGGAGUAUGGUCACUACCCACUAUAGGCAAGGCCCUGGAACUAGCCAGUGGGAAACAAGCAUCAAAUUCGGUUGAACAAAAAAUCCUAUCAAUUUUAGACAUGAUCAUAUUCUCCGGAUUAUUAGCCCAAGUAAAAACUCUACGAGACAAGUUAAUCUCCAGCAGAGACCACAUAUCUACCCAAAUAUUGAACUUAUCAACCCAUAUAAAGGUUACAUUACCAUUGUUCUUGUCCUCCUGAGAUCCAACUAGGGUUUUUGCAGGCAGUACAACCUCAGGCGGCGGCGCCGCCACCGUGGACAGCGCACCAGCCAGCGACACCAAAGAACACAUCAGGGAAGAUUCCGAAGAUGGCGAGAUAGGCGAAGCAGGGCAGGAGCCAAGUAUUCCCAUAGUAGGAGAACGAGCGGCAAACUUACCAGAUCUCUGUGAGCGCGCGGAAAUGAUUGACCAGCCCGGCUCCGCAGCUGCUGCCACCGCACGCCGUCUGACACGAACUUGCAGCACCAUAGAUCCCCACGCAGAGGCGCCGUCACCAUGGCAAAGCCGCCACCAACAGUGGCAGUUGUGUAGGUCCCAGAGCAGCCCACAUCUGCAAUCGGACCGACCUCCGAGUCAGGGUCAUCUCCAAAACCAACGGCCCAAAAUUGGUUACCAGAGGGGGCAGACGACAGAGAUCCAGACCGCCGGCAAAGGCGCGCCGGGGAGGGGUGCGGGCANNNNNNNNNNNNNNNNNNNNNNNNNNNNNNNNNNNNNNNNNNNNNNNNNNNNNNNNNNNNNNNNNNNNNNNNNNNNNNNNNNNNNNNNNNNNNNNNNNNNNNNNNNNNNNNNNNNNNNNNNNNNNNNNNNNNNNNNNNNNNNNNNNNNNNNNNNNNNNNNNNNNNNNNNNNNNNNNNNNNNNNNNNNNNNNNNNNNNNNNNNNNNNNNNNNNNNNNNNNNNNNNNNNNNNNNNNNNNNNNNNNNNNNNNNNNNNNNNNNNNNNNNNNNNNNNNNNNNNNNNNNNNNNNNNNNNNNNNNNNNNNNNNNNNNNNNNNNNNNNNNNNNNNNNNNNNNNNNNNNNNNNNNNNNNNNNNAGGGAGAGGAGAACCAUCAUUUUCCACAUUCGUGCUAGAUGAGUAUGUUUGAUCCUGGUAUUCCAUUGUUAAGCGACCCCACGGAACAGGCAUCGGACCGCACAGGGACAGGUAUAUAGGCAUUACAGAUAAUGAUAAACAUCAAACUAUGUGUAUACGGGAUCUGCAUGCCCUGCACCUGCGUGCUACAAAUCUCCUCCCCUCUUUUCGUCGGUGCGGCCCUAGCAUGAUUCACCGCUGGUAACGGCAAACAGCAGUACACAGGCCUAGCUCUAUGAUUACAGCGUGUGAUCAGUUCCAAAUUGCACCUUUCCAAUCUCCAGCAUUCACACACAAGGCGCCUAUCUCGACGUUUCCAGUUGGACACACACGACACGACGAGUCACGUGUUUCCCGUGUUCGCACGUUUUUAGCAGUUGAAAGCUGCUAAAGUGACCAGGCAGAUGCACAUGCAGCCAUGGUAGACACUUUCUCAGUCGAAGACGCCGCUGCUGCAUGCGUGUCCGUGCACGCACAUCCAUCCAUCAUUCCAUCGCCGACUAGUUUUGUGUGUUCACAUAUUCUCCGGAAGGUUCAUUUCCCGGCAUCAUUAUGAAGCUAUUGACCGUCGCGUGAGUAUACAAGUAGUACAUGGGUCUAGGUUGCCGGAUUGGACGCACCGUAGCAGACGUAUCCUUCCUUGAAUCCUAUAGUUUUAGUCGGUGUAUCAAAAAUAUUAUACUAUUAUUAUUUUUAUACAUAAUGGAUUUACCUGAACCAAUACAUGAGAUUCUUACUAUGCUAUUUGGGGAUUUGUUCUUCUACUAGAGGCUCCAGGAGUAGUAUUACUUACCAACCCAUUUAUUUUGCCUUUUCACUCGGAUUAGUUCUUAUUUGUAUAUCCUUGUUCUAUUUUUUAUGGUAUGAACCCGUCACCUUCCGGUAUUGAAUCAACUAGAUCAGUUUUGGCAUUCCAUCAGGUACGCUCAAACGACCUCCUACCAAUGUGCUUGUUGCGCCGACGCUAACUAGCCGCAGGUUAUUAGGACGCGGAUUUUUGGGAUAUGGUGACACGCGAUGCCGAAAUCUCGCACGUCCGCAUAUGCAUCACGAUUGCUACUUAAUAUAGGCCACUGCAAAAUACAGGACGGGUAAAUCACAUGCCAGAGUAAAUACGUAAAGUUAUACCUGACACGCAUGGGCUAGGUCUCGUUUAAUUCUCGUAUGGAUACUAGCUGUCUGGUAGCAACCCCCUUGCAGGUGUUGGGUUGGUCUUUAAUUCUCAUAUCUGUCAUAACUGCACUGUAGCUCUUCUGUGAGUUGCGUCCCUGUGGAGAGCAGAAGAACAAGAGGAGAUGGCCCCAGCAGAAACGUUGAUACACAUGUUAUAGCAUAUCGCUACUGGUCCUGCGUUUUACUUUCUUGGGUAUACACGCGCUGACAUAUAUCCAACAUGUUCGUCUCCUUGCAUUGCAGACUUCUUUUAUGACACUUGUGAUUAGGUGGUCAAGCCUAUGUAUUAAUGUGCUACUCAUCAAUAGGCAGAUGAAUCAAUGGAAUGCUGAUACAAGAAGCUUUAUUCAUAGCGACUGAUUCAUGACAAACUGGAUGGUUUAGUGUAUAGAGUAAGACUUAUAUGCUAAUUAGCCCUAGAUAUUACAGAGCUAAUAACUGGCACAAUGAUAAACACACUUGUAUGAUGAUUAGUCCUAAUUUACCAAUUAAUAUAUUACUACUACAUAUAUUAAUAUAGUAUUAAUACACAGAACAUCGACUAAGCACACGAAUUUAGCUGUAACCAUGACAAACUUGCUCCCAUAUAUUUAGAUAAUUAAAUGCGGCUCGCAGAUAUUUUCAUAUCGUAAGUUUUCAAUUAGAAAUAUAUGUGGAGUUGAUUUUGAUGUCUCUAAUUUUUUUAAAAUGGGAAUUGUAAUUUUUGGUUAACAUGUAUGCUUGUGAAGCUGAGAUCAAAACCGAAGCCGUGAAAAGAAACCUCGUUCUCUAUAAGCCAUGUACAAAUAUUUUAACCUUUAUGUAGAAUUUUGCCUGAUCUUCUAUUAAUAGACGAAAUGAUUUUUUUAUUAAUGUUGCAUUUUAAAAUUCAAAUUAUACUUUUUUCAUGAUUCGAGUUAACUACGAAGAAUGGAGUUAAUUGAUUUUUCAGUAAGAAAUUGAUAAAUGUAAGGAUUUCAAUUCUAAACCAAUAGUUGAAACAAGUGACGAAACUAAAAUACCCCACUUUCUAAAUUGAACAAUGCUAGGUGGAGAGAGCUGGUGUGAUUAUGGACAGGGUGCAUGCUUCCAAUGUAGUUAACACUUCACGACCUGCUCCUAAUAAAUGAAUACAGGUUGAGGUGUGCCAGGUGAAGAUGUCACAUACUCCCUCCUUUUCAGUUUAUAGGGCUUAUCUCAAAAUUUUAGUUUUUCCAUUUUAUAAGGCUCAAUUUGGUUGUUCUCCAUCACAAGUUCAGAUUUCAAGAUGCAUUAAAUCAUUGCAUGCAAGUAUUAAGAAAAAAUUGACCAAUGCAUAUACUUUAUGCAUGCAUGCAUUGCAAUUAAUGCAUUGAUAAACAUAAUUUUUUGAGAAAAACAAGAGCAUUAAUUGGGUGCUUUUGCAAACUACAAAAAGUAUUCCACCACUCAGCAUCUACCUUGGUUGGUGAGAUUUUUGAAUUGAGCCCUAUAAACCGGAAAGGAGGGAGUAUGUCGCCCAAUAUUGUUCAUCUUCAACCUGGCGCUGAGAGGAAAAAGCUGGCCAUGGCAUCAAGCUGUAGCGACGACGGAAGGUUAGAUAUCUUUCCUACGUUGGUUGGGAUCCUAAUACAGACCAUGAGGUUGCUUUGUCCACCCACAGCCGAGAGAGAGAGAGAGAGAUGGACUCCAGUGUAGCUACAAUUCCACAACUCCAUUGUUGGGAAGAGGAACUCUUAGAUCUCCGUGAGCAUGGACUAGAGAAGCUAGUGGAGUGAGGGACGAGCUGCGGGAUGGAUACGAUGAAUGGGGAAAAAAUGCAUGGGUUGGUUAAAUGUACAAAUAAAUGAGAUUAACUCCUCUAAUCAAUAGCAUGGAUCAGUGUAGUUAUUGUGCAGUGGGGCUUACUCACUUAUUGGCUGUGGAAUACUAGGCCUAUACUACACUGGAGCGGUGCUGAGAAAUAGAGAUACGGGCUGGUUGUACAAAUACUACAUGAAUCACGUGCGCAUGGACGGAGGUGAUUCCAUCCUCGCGUGGAACCAUGUCCACUCAUGAUUAUUCGCAGGUUAUUACUACUACCUUCGUCCUAAUUUAUUUACUUAUUUUUGCGAUUCGUCCUGAUUUAUUGGUCCCAUUGUAUUUCAUGCCAAAUUUUGAUCAUAUAUUAUAACUAACAGAAUAUUAAUGCAUGUCAUAAAAAAUAAUAUCAUAGAAAACUAUGUUCAAAUAUGAAUCCAACGAUAUAAUUUUUUGUGACAUGCAUUUAAAUUUUUGGUCAAAAUUUAGCACAAAAUACAAAGGGGGCCUAUAAACCAGGACGGAGGUAGUAGUGCACUACGAAUAUUCACGACUUGAAUGGGUAUGACAAUACGCAAUAAAAUGCACUACAUGUCUUGAUUGGUCUCUUGAAUAGAGGUUAAAUUCAUGCUAGAUGAUUAUUACACACAGGGCGAGGAGGAAAAUUGAAUAAAACAGAGUUCGUCUAAUUGUUUCAAAAUAUAUUAGUUGCAUUUACACGCAAUAUAUUUCAAUGUUAUUUUCAUAAACAAUACAAUCCAAGCUAGUGGUUCCGCAAUAAACAAUGACAACAAGAAUGCACCAUAUAUAAAUUAAAAUGCACUCACACAACAAAACUAUCGAGGAUAUCUUGCGGAUAACAUGAAAUCUUCCUCACGGCUAUGACACAUGCUUUCUUCCCUUCGUGUUGCUGAUCUGCUACUCGAUGGGUACUUGUAUGAUGUAGCUAUUGAAUCACCCAGGACACACUCCUUGGGUGCUUUGGAGAGCUUCCAAGACAAUCUCCACUUGCCUCAUGGUUGGUCGCUCUCCUGCUAUCAGUUUCAUGCAUGACACAGCUAGAGUAGCUACAUCUUCCACUUCACUACCUCCCUCCUCCAUGACCUGUGGAUCCAAUAUUUUGGCUUGAUUUCCAUCAUCAUGUAGUUCAACAAACUGUGUGACAAUGCAAUCACCUUCAGAGGACAUACACAAAGAUGUCCUCUUCCUUGUUAGCAACUCAACAAGAAGGACACCAAAGCUAUAGACGUCGCUACUUUCUGUUAAUCGUCGUGUGUAAUAAUACAUUGGAUCUAAAUAUCCCAUAGUUCUUUGCACUGCAGUUGGUGUUUGUGUUUGAUCUGGAAUGUAUCGUGAAGCUCCAAAGUCUGACACUUUCGCUACCAAGGCAUCAUCAAGAAGUAUGUUGGAAGGCUUAAUAUCUCUAUGGAUUAUGGGGACUGAAAUAGCGGAGUGAAGAUAAGCUAGAGCUUUGCUUAUUUCACUUGCGAUCCUUAACCUAUCUUUCCAAGAUAGAGAUCUUGGUGCCUCUGUGUGAAGAUGGUCACUGAGUGUUCCAUUGGAAACGAACUCGUAAGCAAGUAGAGGGAUUUCUGCCUCAAGGCAACAACCGUGAAGUUUCACAAUAUGCUUAUGAUUGAUCUGUGAGAGUAUGGCAACCUCAUUAAUGAACUCGCCAAUUUCUCUCUUGAUAUUCUUAUGGUUGAUCUUUGAUUUCUUGAUGGCCACAACAUGUAGAUCUGACAAGAUCCCUUUGAAGACAGUGCCAUGCCCUCCACCACCAAGCUUACGAGCUUGAUCAAAAUUGUUAGUAGCCUUCUCUAGCUCCUCUAGAGAAAUGAGCAUUCUCUCUGCGAUGUCAUCCCUAUCGGAUACGAGUUGCUUCAAUAGUUGUCCACGGUUUUGUCGAAAAAAUUUCUGCCUCAACAUCCUAGCCUCGUUGCUUAAGAUAACGGGUUAUUAUGAGUGCACCAAGAACCAAAAUGAGAACACACGGGCCACUAGCAACCGACAGACCAAUGAUUAAUCUCAAGUGACGAUUACCUACAAAAUAAUAAAUACACAACGUAUUUACUUCCUACUACAACUAGAGCAUAUGAAUAAGAGCUAAAAGUAAUUAACUUUAAUUCUUCCAUUGUUGGCACUCACUACUAUUCCCUCCAUGGGAAAUUAUAGUACAUACAAUAUUCUAUCAGAGGUCAAACUUUGUAAACUUUGAACAAGUUCAUAAAAAAUUAGCAGUAUGAUAUACUAGAUUCAUCGUGCCAUAUGCACUAUAAUUUAUCAACCGAUGGACAUAUGUAAGUGCCAAAUUAAUACCAAUAGAUUCAUCAAGAAAUACAUUUUCAUAUGGUAUAUUUUCAGCAUCGAAAUGUUCAUAUUUUAUUAAUAAGUUUGGUCAAUGUUACAAAGUUUGAUUAAAAAAUAGAUUAUAUAUGCACUAUAAUUUGGCAAGAAUGGAAGAAUUUUAAAAAUGAUGAUAUAUGGAUCAUAAAUGUAGAUGGUAAGGUAAUAUAUAUAACUAAGCGAAGCAUGGUACUCGUACCUGUGUUUACCACAGGCAUGACACAGUCAUUGCGUACAUUGGGGUUGCCCUUGGUCCCUUUGGGACAUCCGCACCGGAAUGUUCCGGGAAGUUCCUCGCAGUUGCCGAAGCACCCAUGUUCUUCUUUUCGACCACACUCUUUGAUAUCUACACACGUACAUAUACUUACAGAAUUUAGCUGAUGUCUUGUUCAAAAACUAGCUUGUCAAAAAGUCAAAGUAAGUGCGAUCUGCCUCCUGAUGGAAGCGCCAAGGGUUAGGACCUAGUGCUUCUACUGUCUGGCUGGGUCGAUACAACACUGGGCCGUUUUGUAUAUGUGCGUGUGUGUUCUUUCUAUCUACUCCCUCCGUCUCAAAAUAAGUGUCUCAACUUUGUAUUAACUGUAAUACAAAAUUAUACUAAGCUUGAGACACUUAUUUUAGAAUAGAGGGAGUAGUACAUUGUUACUGUAAACUGAUAUUUUCUUCCUCCCUAUUCAUGAAAAGGGCAGAAGAACUGCCAGUUCCCCUGCAAAAGAUAAUGGGAGGCUCUAUUUGUCAGGCGCCUGGAAAAAGAAGUUGCAUCAGUUACUUGUUAUGUGAACCAUCAGAUUUUGAUCCAAUGGUCCACAAUAGAUCGUGGAACUGUUCAUCGUCUUCCUCCUGCCUUCUUCCUCCUCCGGUCCCUCAGCCUACCCCGCCCCAUCCGCCGGCCUCCACCCCCCGCGUCCACCGGCCGCUACCGCGCGCCGCGUCGCCACCCCGCCCUCCCCUCGACCUCCCCCAUCGCCGUUGCUAGUCACCACGCCGACCAUCCUCUAAGCCCCGCACCAAUGGAGAACUCCGGUGAUCCCCUGCAACCCCCACCUUAAGAUAGAUAAUGGGGCCGUUACUCACCCUAAGAUAGAUGGUGGGGCUAGUUCUUCUCUGGCGAGCUUCUCCGGUGAGGUCCGACCAAGAGGGAAAGAAGAAGAAGGGGGGGGGAAAAGUGACUGAUGCGGGAAGAAAUUUCUGGCACAUAAGAAAUAGCAAAUCCGAAAAACAGCAACAUAAAGCAUAAGUACCUUGGCAUCCGGCGGUGAGGUAAGGGUUACCGUCGUAGCCCUUGUUGCACCGGCAAGAAUAGCCUCUGAAUGUGGCCCGGGGUUCACCCUUUUUCUCGAAAAAAAAGCCCGUGGAUGUAUUGGUUGUCUCGUACACGCACUGGCUGUUGGUGCUUUUGCAGAUGGUCCGAUCUGCGUCGGCCGGGCAUAUCCCCGUGUAGUUGUCAUGCCGUCUGUCGGUCGGUGCAGCUCCGUAGGGCACCGCCCACCGGAGAAUCAUGGGGACCUUCACCUCAGCAGCUGUCCUUCCCAGCGCGACGCGCAGUCUCCUUAUCCGGUCGUAAUUGAGCCAACCCAUCUCGGCGACGAGCACGUUCACCGCGUUGUACUCCAAGUACAUUCUCCAUCUCGGCAUGCCGCCGCCGAGCCGCUUAAGCUCCACGCCAUAGGAUGCGUCGCCUGCGGGGAUGUACGACUGGCAGCAGCCGAGGUUGGAGCAGAUGUUGCCGCCUUCAUCGCGGGUCACCAUCAGAUACAUGGAGCGGAAGGAGGCGCAGCCGCUGACGAUAUGGCCGCUGCUCCCGUUCAUCCUCUGGAGCGUGACUUGCACGUUGCACCCCGUGAGGAUGAGCUCGUUCAAGUCCUGCCCGAGGAUGUAUGGGUAUGGCAGCACCCCGCCCCCGCCGACGGCGAGGCUCCAGCUCCACCGGUAGACCCCAUCGCCGGAGUCGCUCAUGUUUACGGCGUACACUCCCUGGCGGAUGACGCGCACCGUGGUGUUCCUCAGGGAGAUGUUGACAACCUCCAAAGCACCGGCGCCGCCCUCGCCGAGGAGCAGCCUCGGCGGCUUGCUGCCGUGGUCGCAGGUGAGCUUGAACCCUGGCCGGUAGCACCUGGCGGGGCCCAUGCCGAACGGGUACGGCACGCUCACGUCGCCACAGGUGGCAUUGCAGUUCGGCAUCGUCGUCGGCGGAUCCACGGCGACCACCAUUGGCACCGACAUCAGCAGCAGCAACGCUGCAACGGACACCCAGCUUGUUACCAUCGUCACAGCUCCGUGUGCUUGGGUAAUUUUAGUGGGUGUGAAUUGAUGCCGGUACAUAUAGCACUCCGUAGUUGACCCGCAGCGCGUGCACCGCGUGCGCGUCCACACCCCGGGCCCUAGCUGCACCGGCCGGCACCUUUUCUGCCACGCCGUACUUCACCAGACGCGUCCUCCGACGACUCGAACUCCGCGCUCGCGCCAGAGCUGGCGAGGAAGGCGCAACGCAAGGUGCCCGGGUGCCGGCCGGAAGCGCCCCCGUUCCCGGCGCUCCUGUCCGAGGCGUCCGACUACAUCGCCGCGCUGGAGAUGCAGGUGCGCGCCAUGGCCCGUGCUCCUGCCUACUACUCCUGUAAAUUGCCGCGCUGGAGUAGUAGUGAUGCAUUGGUCCCUUGCAAAUUGCACUGUUACGUAGGAGUAAUUUUUAUUUUUUUCAGAAGAACCGACAGAUGCACAAGAUUUCCGUUAUUUUCUUCCUCUUGGCUAAAUCGAGACGAACGGGUUCGAGCUUUCUACGGUGGCCGCCCGUAACGACCAACGGGCAACGCCAUAAUUCCCCCGUGUGGAAGGAUUAUUGUAUCACCUGCAAGGAUUAAAUCAUGUUUUUUUAGGGGUAAAACCUGUUCCAUUUAUUCAAAAGCGUUUGGGAUCUCCGCCGCUACGACCUGCAGAAUGCAGUCCGGCAGGGAUUGGAGCCACAACUUCCGAUCUAUUCAUCUUCAAUCAUCGCAGUACAACGAACACCAGAAAUAAUAAAAAUUACAUCCAGGUCCGUAGACCACCUAGCGACGACUACAGGCACUAAAGCGAGCCGAAGGCGCGCCGUUGUCAUUGCCCCUCCCUCGCCCGGAGUCGGGCACACCUUGUUGUAGUAGACAGUCGGGAAGUCAUCGUCCUAAGGCCCCAUAAGACCAGCGCACCAGAACAGCAACCGCCGCCGAUGAAGGAUAACGUAGAUCGAAAGGAUCCAAUCUGAAGACACACGAACAUAGACGAAAAACAACCAGAUCCGAGCAAAUCCACCGAGGAUAGAUCCGCCGGAGACACACCUCCACACGCCCACCAACGAUGCUAUACGCACCACUGGAACGGGGGCUAGGCGGGGAGACUUUUAUUUCAUCUUCAGGGAGCCGUCUCGUCUUCCUGAGCAGGACACAAACCCUAACAAAUCUGAAAGGAACGACUAACAACGGAGCCCUCUCGCCGGCCCUUGCCAGGAUCCACCUCGCCUCCAUGGCCCUAGGGCCACCGGAGACGAGGCAGACCUACGGCGGAGCCGGCGAAAGGCACAAACCCUAGCUUUUUUGGUGGAGGAGGAGGAGGCGGCUGCGUUGUUUUGGAUGUUGCGUUGCGUCUCUGGUAUCAUGCAUGUUGGCUGGCUGCAUAGGGAACCAACUUUUUCCUGGCGGCUGAUGGCGCUAGGUUGGGCUAGGUUGAUGCAGUAUGCGGUGUUUAGUUGUGCACGGCAUAAGUUAUGAUCACCACUUCUUACUACUAGUGAUGACCUUAUCAUACAUGAUAAAAACAUCGUUUUGGUCAUAGCUAGUAAACAAAUAGCACAUCAUCUUACUACUAACAAAUAGCACAUCAUUCUAUUGUUGUUGUCGUUGCUUCUUCUUCUUCCACUAGUACAAAAUAGGGCUUUCGUCACAGGGCAAUAUUCACAUUAGUCCCGGUUCAGUCACGAACUGGGACUAAUGUGAGCAUUGGUCCCGGUUCGUGCGGCUAAGGCAUUAGUCCCGGUUCACCUGGGCCCUUUAGUCCCGGUUGGUGCCACGAACCGGUACUAAUGGGCUUUGAGGCAUUAGUACCGGUUGAUGGCACCAACCGGGACUAAAGGUCUAACCUUUAGUCCCGGUUGGUGCCACCAACCGGUACUAAUGGGCUUUGAGGCAUUAGUNNNNNNNNNNNNNNNNNNNNNNNNNNNNNNNNNNNNNNNNNNNNNNNNNNNNNNNNNNNNNNNNNNNNNNNNNNNNNNNNNNNNNNNNNNNNNNNNNNNNNNNNNNNNNNNNNNNNNNNNNNNNNNNNNNNNNNNNNNNNNNNNNNNNNNNNNNNNNNNNNNNNNNNNNNNNNNNNNNNNNNNNNNNNNNNNNNNNNNNNNNNNNNNNNNNNNNNNNNNNNNNNNNNNNNNNNNNNNNNNNNNNNNNNNNNNNNNNNNNNNNNNNNNNNNNNNNNNNNNNNNNNNNNNNNNNNNNNNNNNNNNNNNNNNNNNNNNNNNNNNNNNNNNNNNNNNNNNNNNNNNNNNNNNNNNNNNNNNNNNNNNNNNNNNNNNNNNNNNNNNNNNNNNNNUGAUGGAAAUGUCAAAAAAAAUAAAAUAAAAUAAGUUUCCCAUGUGAUAUGUGGUCUAGUUGUUGGGAAAAUUAACAAAUAUGAAUUUCGACUUUAUUUGCAAAAUCUCUCUGGAAUUUCUUAAAAUGGGCAUAACUUUUGCAUACGAACUCGGAUGAAAAAGUUUUUUAUAUGAAAAAUCAUCUACUCGAAAAGUUACAUCCGAAUUUAACCGGGGGAACCCGUUAAACAUUUUCAAAAUCCUCAAAAACCUAACAGAAAAAAGUUACGGUGCUUUUAAGAUCUGGAGAGGCAAAAAAAUUCAAAAAAUUUCAAAUUAUGGUCAAACUAAUUAUUCUAGAAUAUUCUAAAUAAUUAUUUUAGUUUUUUUGAAUUUUGGUCAAAUCUGGUCAAACUGUGGUCAAACAAUGGUCAAACUAAUUAUUUCGGAAAUAUUAGUGUUACUAAAUAAUUAUUGUUGUUUAAAACAAUAGUUUCAAACUUAAACAGUGAAAUGUGUCACUUCAUGCUCAAGCUAAAUUCCUGAGGGUUAAUAGAAUUGACAUCUUACUAUUGUCAGGAAAACAACAAGUGCAGACUUGGAAACGAGGGAGAAUAGAACCCGGAAGUUAAGCGUGCUCAGGCUGGAGUAGUGAGAGGAUGGGUGACCGUCCACGAAGUUAGAUGAUUUGGAAUGAUGAGGGGUGAUUAGAGAUUAGAGGAUAAAUUGAGCAGUGAUGAGGGGUGGUGAUUAGAGAUUAGAGGUUAAAAUAAUUCAGAAAUUUAAAAAUCAAAAAAAAAAUUCGCAAACGGAAAUUUCAAAAAAAAAAUAUCAUAAAAUUUCCUACCAACCGGGACUAAAGUUGGAGCUCCACGUGGCCGCGACCUUUAGUCCCGAUUCGUGUAAGAACCGGGACUAAAGGGGGGAGGCAUUAGUAACGACCCUUUAGUCCCGGUUCAAAAACCGGGACUAAAGGCCCUUACCAACCGGGACAAAAGCCCCCUUUUCUACUAGUGUUCUUCUUCUGUCGUUGCUUCUUCUUCUGCUGUUGUUGUUGUUGUUUCUUCUUCUUCAGAUUCUUGUCUAACCGCUGUUUGUCCACAUUGUCUCAGCCCACUCCAUCUUUCUGUUCUUCCAAUCUUCAUUGUCAAAUGCCUCCAUACCAUGGCCGGAGGUUUCAACAUCAUCAACCAUCACAUCUUCCUCCUCCGGCACAAGCUCAUCACAGCCCAAUUGUAGGAUCCAGUUAUGAGUAUGCAACAUGCAAGAACAAGCCUAACCUGGGUGGGGAAAGUGUGAAAUGGAUUAUGAUCCAGGAUUCUAAAUCUAUUCUUCAGAGCCCCAAAUGCCUUCUAAACAGUAACUCUAAGGUUAGAGUGUCUGAGGUUGAACAAUUCUUAUGCGGUCCUAGGAUACUUCCUGAAAGAGAACUCGUUCAGAGAACUCGCUCACCACACCAAGCUGGCAUGCAUAGUCAGCAUCUCGUAGGUAGAACUUGCCAUGAUAUUGAUAUGCCAUCAGGUUCAGCCAUGUUGUCAGCAAGAAUGUUAGCAUCAUGCGUUGAUUCUUCCUAGCCAACUAACACAUGUGUGAACUUCAUAUCGGAGUCAACAGCAGCAAGCACACUCUGGCUUGUGUAGUGCUUUAAACCCCUAUAAGUUGCAACAUGUGACUUCGACACUAGUAGUCAUAUUAGUACCAUCUACUUUGCCGAUGCAAUCCUGAAAACGGCAUGAAAACAUGGUGGUAUGGUUGUAUCAGGACAAUACAAGCAUGUCAAGGCAUGAACCACGGGUAGUGCUCACCUUGAAAUACAUAUGCCAUCUUGGGCUCAUGCGAGCCUUGCUAGGAAUAUGUCCGGUUGGUGCCUUGAUCGUCUCUCCUCUGAGCUCCCAAAACAACAUACAUGAAUUUCCUAAAAUACAUGGAAAUGGUUUGCAUUGAUCUCAUGAACGUCUCUACAAGCUUGGCGAAAGGUUCUCUUUUCAUUCGAAGUAUCCCCAGAAACAUUGAACCAUAACGAAUGACACGAUUAUCACUCCGACGAACAACUGUCUUGUGGGCCAACAUGAGCCAGGCCUGAAUCACAACUAUCAGUGUUGCUGCUUGAACAACCAGCUUCAUUCGUUCGUUCAUAACCUAGGCAACACUGUUGGUGUGGUGAGCAAUGGCAAAAUCGAUCCUACACCGUACCUAACGGCCUAACAAACGACCUAACAGAGAAGGGGGUUGUAUGCUGCUUAUCCCCUUUGGAGCCGACGACCCGCCCAUGGCACAGAUGAGGAGGACGAGACGACGUCGAAGACGAAGGGGUAAGCAGAUCCUAUUGCCGGAGAUUGAAGUUGAUGCCGCUGCCACUUCCAUAGAUUUGAGAGUCACAACUGUUGAGCAUGGCAAGAACUGUCCUAGCGCUAGAGGUGAGCGAGUACAUGGGGUGAUGCUAGAUUUUGCAGCAUUCCGUGCCCGCCAAUUUCCAUCUUCUGUCAUCUCCACCCAUACUUUCCCUACAAUGCCGUGUACGUCGUGCCUCAUUUUCGCGUCCGACUCAGCCUGACUCGCUGGAAAUGACCGAUUUGAGUGUUCUUGGCGAGUCCGGCUCUAGGCUGCUUUAAGAUUCAUGUGCGUGUGAGCCAGGCCACCGUGUACACCUCACGUGCCCCGUACGCGUGGUAGGUUGAUGGCUACGAUCCAUGUCGCCGUGCGAUUAGGGGGUGCAUACGACAUGGCUAGUGCGUGACAGGCCGUGUGCCGUGUGCGCUCGACAGUGCAAACGCGUACGUUGGCAUGUGCGUCACGUCCUCGCAAUGACAAGAUGGGGCUGUGGUCCAUUGCGUGUUUGCCAAUUAGUCGUACGUAAUACACAUGGAUGCAAUGUUUCUGAACCUACUCGUAUGGAUCGGCGCCUAGUGCAGGUCUUUUUCAGACAAGGUUGAUUUUCUAAGAAAGCUAUUUGAAUUGAGCACUGCUAUGCAUAGUACUAGUAUAAACUCGCGCACAACUCUCACACACCAUUGGAUUGCUUCGUUUGAUUAAUCUGUAUAUAUAUGGCUUCUACUCGUGCACAAAUCGCGCAUCAUCACAUCAUGUGCACAUCACUUUCGAUUUGAAUUUUAUUCUCGAUGCUCCGAAACAUUCCAGAGGAAAGGGUCAAGGGUAAAAUGCCAGCAAAUGGUUUUGGUACAUACAGUAUAUUUUUAAUCCAACGACAUGUUCAUGCAUACAACACUCAAACCGGAAGUACACGAGUCCAUGUGUAAUAUUGUAUUUUUUUAGAGUGCAAAAAAUGAAAAAUAAGAACAAUUGCUCAAGGGGCACAAAUGUUGGGCUAUCAAAACAUCAACAAUUGAACAAAAAAUAGGGGCACAACAGACUUUUCCCACCAAAUAUUCUCAUUCUUGAAUUUGAAGCUGGCUGUAAGCCAAACAAAAUAAACCGCUGCUCCAAGGUGGAGCUGCAACUCCUGGAAUUGCUCCAAAGUGGAGUUGAUGGAGUUAAGCUGAUUUUUGAGGAGUGGAGCCGUCCCAAAGAGGCCCUUACAUGUGACAUAGUUCCGUCACAUCUACAUGAGCCUGAGACACACCAUAAAACUAAGGAAUAGCCCAUAUAUUCGAGCCACAUAAUAGACAUCAAACUAUAUCCAUAUCUAGAUGAAACUGCUUAUUGCAAAUGCACAUUCAUGAUUAGACAUAAUGGUACGAUAGGUAGAGAAAACUCUCGGUACAAACUCCAGGGAAUCUAGGCCAAAAAAAAAAAAAACUUCCAUGCGACAAANNNNNNNNNNNNNNNNNNNNNNNNNNNNNNNNNNNNNNNNNNNNNNNNNNNNNNNNNNNNNNNNNNNNNNNNNNNNNNNNNNNNNNNNNNNNNNNNNNNNNNNNNNNNNNNNNNNNNNNNNNNNNNNNNNNNNNNNNNNNNNNNNNNNNNNNNNNNNNNNNNNNNNNNNNNNNNNNNCAUGCGACAAACGAAACAGCUGUACUCACAAAACAAAACACUUUUUAUAGUCGCAACCAGCAUAAUUUACAAAUAGCACAACAGGGCCAUUAGAUUCUGGGAGUACGACGCAUGGAGGCAUGUAGCUCGCCAAAGAUACUAAUACAGGAGCUAGUUGUAAACUUGUAUGUAAAGAUUGUAUGGUAAUACAGUUGCAUGGAGGGCUAAUAUGUAAUGGCUAGCAAGUGAGACUAGUUAUCAAAAUUGCAGUUCAAGCCAUGGCACUUUAUUUCUUGCCAUCUUAAUGCUCAUAUGCAUCCAGGUAUGAACAAGCAUGUUGCACUUGUAACCAGAUUGACCAUAUGAAUCACAGCACCGCCAACACUGCAUAUACUUUGACUUAAAACAGGCAUCAGUAGAGAGAAGGACGGCCAUAUGAAGAAGCUAGUGUAUCUGAUACACUUAGUGAUCCGCGUUGGAGAUGCCCCUGUUCUACAUUUCAUCAUUCAAAUGGUUGCUCACAGAAAGCAAGCCGUCCCGAUUUGCAUGCUUCCACCUAGUCACACAAAACCCUAACCCUAACACACACCAUAAAAACAAGCAAUGGUAUCUGAUCUCAGUACACAUCUGAAUGAGCCUUACUCAUCAUUUCCAUCAAUAGCACUUUGCUUCAAUCCCACAAAAAAGAAUAGAGGGAAACCAGUUGUCAAAGAACAAAAUAUGACCAGAAACCACGCAAGAAUCAGUGAAAGCAGAAAGAAUUACUAUAUCGGAAUCAAAUCAUGAUCUGGUGGACACAAAAAAGGGUACAUGUAUCAGUAAAAGGCUCAGAUGCUUAUAUCUCCAUCUCGACACCAUACAUGAACUUCUGCUAAAAUGACCAUGAACAUCUUAUAUUUGUGGACGGAGGGAGUAAUAGUUGGCCGCUGAACUGGUUACUUGCUGUGACACAAGCCAUCCUAGUUUAGCACCAAGUGAAUCAAUUCAGGUGUUAGAUAGAAGCUCUUGCAGGGAAGUUAUAUCAUCACAGCCAUUCAUGAACAUGACACAAAGGAAACAGUAAUCUUAACUUGCCCUAUACAACCCUUAAGUUGAAACCACUAAAGAACUAACAAGAAACCAAAAGUACAACUGAUAAGUAGAUAAAAGAGUACAGCAGAAGAACGAAAUUAUGAAGUAGCAAUUGAAACAAGCAAACUGCCCCAACAGUAAUUAAGAUAGUCUUAAGAACUAUCCAAGGGACAGCAGAAUUAUCAUAACCAUUCAAGAAAAAGGAAGAACAGAAGACAACAAUAAGUGCGGCUAGAGUACUGUUCCUAAAACAACAGAACUGGUUGACAUACUGCAAAACCAACAAAAUGUGUAGGAAAAAUAGAAUAGUCGAAGAUCCCUUUGCGCAUGCAACAGAUAGGGCUGCAAGAAAAGCUCGAGGCUCGUGAGCCGCUCGAGAUCGACUUGUUUUUUGACUCGACUUGAGAUCAACUCGAAAAUAAACAAGCAGAGUUUGAACACUUUAUGUAGCUCGACCAAGAAACGAGCCGAUCUUGAGCCAAUAUUGGCUCGUUCGAUUUUAGCUCGAUAGCUCGACAGAAUAUCAUUAUGUUAAAUGAUCAUGCCAUAUAUUAAACGAAAAUAAGAUAAUUUAUUACCAUAUAUUUUGUCCAUAAUUUUUCUCCAUUUUAUAUUUACCAACGAACAUGGAAACUUAAUUAAGUUCAGAGGAGAUUUAGGCCUAAUUAUUGCACGUGGUCGACUAUGUGUUAAAUACCCUAUAUUUUUGGCAAAGGUUCCCAGCAUAUUCACCUUAAAUUUUUUUGGUUUUAAUCUAUAGAUUUAUAAUUUCUAUCAUCUCAUUUAGCUCGAAACUAGCUCGAGAUCGACUCGAGAUCGUUACAAGCUGAGCACGAGUCAUGUUCUACAGCUCGAUCAUGAGCUUCACUUAGUUUGAGCUCGCUCGAAUUUUCAUACGAGUUGAGCUAAGCCAACUCCAACUCGCUCGAGCUCGACUCGUUUGCAUCCCUAGCAACAGAUAAGGGUGGAAAAUAGGUCGGGUCAGAUACAAAACAUAUGCAGCUAAGCACAGUAUCAGCAGCUGGAGGGCGAUUAGAGCUCAGAAGAGAGAAGAGGUGGUAAUUAAGAUUUAAGUGCCUCUUUGGAACGCAAGUAUCGUUCAAUAUGUAUUCCCUCCACAUUCAGUAAGAGUUCAGGCGGAGAGGGAUUCAGACUUCCCAGACACAGCAGCUCAGGUCCAAAAGGCGGAACUGAAUCGUGAAAAAUCCAUCAGAGUAGCUCAGAUCUCGUUGAGCACACCCAACUUCCCAGCCACCAGAGGCCACAGGACUACUCCGCCCCAUGAUCCACACCGCAAACCGCCAGCCCCUGAUGUUUCAGCUGUGCCGGCUGCCCGAGAAGGGCCUCCCAAGCCGAUGCAUUAGUGCAGAGGGCGCGACAGGAGGGGUGGCCCCAUGAAGCAAAGGUCUGAGGCCGGGGGAGACGGCAGGCUUCACCACCUUCAUCAUUCCUCAUCGCUGCCUCUCUAUCACAGGUGAAGCUUUAUAAGGACAUAGGGAUGGCAAGCAUCGAUGGUGGAAGUUAAGGAGGACUACAAUGGCAAAUAUCAAUAGAAAAAUUGACAAUGGAUGCAAAAAUAGGACCAAAAAACUGAAAAAUAGCAUCAAUAAAUCUGCUUUUAAAUUGGUUUGAUAAAAAGAUUUGACACCAUCUCACCUUCCCAGAAGGUCCACAUAAAGAAACAGAGCCAUAAUAACAAAGAACCAAAGCCGUAGGUAAUGCCAGGUUUCUUUUUCAAGGUACAGGCCAACAAUGUACAUAAUAUAUACAACUUAAUUUUCACAGUGAGCCCACGACCAUUCACAGUUGCCAAACAGGUAUUCUUAAAAUCAAGAAGAAACAAAGAAAAGUUUUUGGGAAAAUCAAACUGUUUUCUGGAGUAUAUUCCAAAAGUACUCACUGAUCAAAUUAAUAUAAUCAAACAGUAGAAGCAUCAGACACAGGUGUCAUAACAAAUACAUGCACGAGGAAUAGUUCACAAAAUCCAGGAAACAAAAUCCAGGAAAAUUGUGGAGUAUUACUUGAAUGGCUCAGAUUUAACCCACCAUAAAUCACCAAAGUUGGAAAAUGCUUCAGGUAGUACUCGAAGCCUUUCGGUACCAAACAACAACAACAACAAAGCCUUUCAGUCCCAAACAAGUUGGGGUAGGCACGUGGAUACCUAAUUUCCAUGCACCCCUGCCCAUGGCUAGUUCUUGGUGAUAUUCCAGUCCUUCAGGUCUCACCUUACCAUCUCUCUCUCUCUUUCCCCGCCCAGCAACAAAUAGCCGCAACUGGUAACUUGCUGCAAAGCAAGGCCUCCUAGUAUUACGACUGACUGUCUAACUGGGCAAAGUUGAAUGGAACCAAUCAUCUCUAUCUCAGGAUAUGUUGAAAGAUCUCCAACACCAAAGAGGAGGAAAUCAUCAUAGCCAUUCAGAAAAGAAUAGAACUCAUCAGCACACAACAGAAACAAAUAUGCUGUGUUCGGAAGUUGAUUUGGAACACUAUGCUGAUGGCCGUAUUACUAGAAAUGAAAGAAGCAAUUUACAUUUGUUCACUUCAGAUAAAAGGAGUAACUGCCAGAAAAAAAAAAACAGGACAAUACAAAUUUUCCAUUUUGGAAAAGAAAAACAUAAGGUAGAAAUCCAAGUCAAAAACAAUAGUGUGUUCGACAUAUAUAGUUUGUACAACUAUACAGGCAAAAAAUAAGCCAGCUAGAAAUCAAUCCAAGCUAGGGCGGUUGGCUUCAUCACCAAGAGAAGACAUCAAUCCAAGUCCAGAUGGGCCGUUACCCACAUCAACACAAUAGAGAGGAAUAAAAAAGAAAAAACAGUGCAUAGUAGAGAAGGUAAAAUCGAAUAUUUGUAGCGUAGCAAAAGAGGGCUCAGUUUUGCCUUUCAUCUUCAAGCCCAACACUCGCAUCUCUUGCUGCAUAAUCUACCCAUCACGAUGUAAAAGAACUGCCCUGGUUAUCAUUCAUCAGAAUGACCGUCCAAGUAGCAGAACAUCCAACAUUAGCGAUGAAUUGAACAGGCUGCAAGAGAGGUAAGGGUGUGCUCUAAUUUAGUACCCAUAGGCCACAGCUCUUAAUUGCUCAAGACAGGCUUAUUUCAGCCACGGUCAUCAUCAUUGCCCCUGGUAAGGACUCCAUCUCUUCAUCACACAGUAGCAUGCAUACAUCAUCCAUCCAUCCAUCCAUCAGGCUGGUCGUAGUGGUAAGUAACUUGUCGCAUCCAUGAUAUCCAUUACAGGCAUGCACACAUCCAUCCAUCCAUCCUCUUUAAUUACUUGUCACAUGAUCUUUUUUGCCUAUGUGGCAUGCAUGUUACUACUCCCUCCGUUCCAUAAUUACUGUUGUGGUUUUAGUUCAAAUAGUUCAAUUUGAACUAAAACCUAAGUUACUCCCACUAUGACUAGUCUCAGUCUCAGGAGCUGCUCGUACCUGGCCUCGACCGCCCAGUGUGGACGACGCAUCAGAUAAUGCCUUACGGUUCCCAGCCCACACCACAACCAAAUCCAAGGCAAUGAAAUGGCAGUGGCUGGCAGCACCGUAGAGACGGGGAACUGACGUGGCAGCCACCCGGACAAUGGGGUAGCAAGUCGGCAAUGAGAGCUUUGCUGAUUUGUUUAGGGCUUGAGAGAGAGAGAGAGAGAGAGAGAGAAAGGUGAGGAGGAUUCAUACCGAAUCCAAAACAAAAUGCAACUGAACUGAGCAAAAGAGGGCUCAGUUUUGCAUUUCAUCUUCAAACCAACACUCACACCUCUUGCUGCAUAAUCUAUCCAUCGCAGUGUAAGAGAACUGCCCUGGUUAUCACUCAUCAGAACGACCAUCCAAGGCACAGAACAUCCAACAUCCGCGAUGAAUUGGACAGGCUGCAAGAGAGGCAAGGGUGGGCUAAAGAGUAACUCCAACGCAGAUACCAAUUUUCUUGCACUGUUUAGUCCCACCUCGCCAAGGCUGUCUUGAUUGCUCAAGACAUGAUUAUUUCAGCCACAGUCAUCAUCAUCGGCAUCGCCCCUAGCAACAUAACCAUGAAUCCAUACAUAUAUGCAUGCAUACAUCCAUCUAUCCAUCCAUCCUGCUCAGGAGUUGCUCAUACCUGGCCUCGACCGACCAAAACUCCGGCUCCGACGACGCAUCAGAAGACACCGUACGGUUCCCAGCCGACGGGCACAACCAAAUCCAAGGCAAUGGGACGGCGGUGGCAGGCAGCACCGUAGCGGUGGGGAACUGAACUGACGCGGCGUACAUCCGGACGAUAGGUCAGUCAGCGAUCCGGCAACAAGAGCUCGCCUGAUUUGUUUUAAAAAUAUACUCCCUCCGUUCGGAUCAAGUGUCGUGGUUUUAGUUCACGACACAUGAAUGCAUCCAUUCAUCCAUCCUUCUCAGGAGCUGCUCAUACCUGGCCUCGACCGACCAAACCUCCCGCACGGACGACGCAUCAGACGUCAUCCUACGGCCCCCAGCCCACGCCACAACCGAAUCCAAGCCAAUGGAAUGGCGGUGGCUGGCCGCACCGUAGCAGCGCUGGGUCAGCGAUCCGGCAACGAGAGCUUGGCUGAUUCGGUUUAGGAUUUACUGGUGUGAACUCUAAGCGCGCGCGCGCACAGAGUGAGCGAGUGUGUGAGAGUCUGAGAGAGAGAGAGAGAGAGAUGGGGGGACCGUACCGGAUCCAAAGCAAAACGCAGCCAAGCUGCGAGAAAUCCAUCGACGGCGGCUCAGAUCCCGCGCCGGCCCGACCAAGCCCUCGACCGCAGCGCGCCAUGGGCCCCGCCGCUCGGUCCCCAGCCCGCACGGCCGCAGACGCCUCCCGCAUCCAUCCAUCCUCUUUAAUUACUUGCCAGUCAUUUUUGCCUAUGUGUCAUGAAUGUUACUACUCCCUCUGUUCCAUAAUUCAGUUACUCCCACUAUGACUAGUCUCAGUCUCAGGAGCUGCCCAUACCUGGCCUCGACCGACCAAACAUCCUGGUGUGGACGACUCAUCAGACAACGCCUUACGGGACCCAGCCCACGCCACAACCAAAUCCAAGGCAAUGGAAUGGCAGUGGCUGGCAGCACCGUAGAGACAGGGAACUGACGUGGCAACCACCGGGACGAUGGGUCAGCGAGUCGGCAAUGAGAGCUUGACUGAUUUGUUUUAGGGGUUGAGAGAGAGAGAGGUGAGGAGGAUUCAUACCGAAUCCAAGACAAAAUGCAACUGAACCGAGCAUAUGUAGCGUAGCAAAACAAGGCUCAGUUUUGCAUUUCAUCUUCAAACCCAACACUCACAUCUCUUGCUGCAUAAUCCACCCAUUGCCAUGUAAGAGAACUGCCCUGGUUAUCACUCAUCAGAAUGACCAUCCAAGGCAAAGAACAUCCAACAUUGGCAAUGAAUUUGACAGGCUGCAAGAGAGGCAAGGGUGGGCUCUAAGGCCAACUCCUUUUUUCUGGCACUGUUUAGUCCCACCUCGCCGAGCUGUCUUGAUUGCUCAAGACAUGAUUAUUUCAACCAGUCAUCAUCAUCGGCAUCGCCCCUCCUUUUUUUCCAAAAAGGAGGUUGAACCCCCGAGCAACAUGACCAUGAUAUCCAUACAUAUAUGCAUGCAUACAUCCAUCUAUCCAUCCAUCCUGCUCAGGAGUUGCUCAUACCUGGCCUAGACCGACCAAAACUCCGGCUCCAACGACGCAUCAGACAACACCGUAAGGUUCCCAGCCCAUACGCACAACCGAAUCCAAGGCAAUUGGACGGCGGUGGUAGCGGUGGGGAACUGACGCGGCGGACAUCCGGAAAAUAGGUCAGCAAUCCGGCAACGAGAGCUCGCCUGAUUUGUUUUAAAAAUAUAAUCCGGCAACGACACAUGAAUGCAUCCAUUCAUCCAUCCUUGUCAGGAGCUGCUCAUACCUGGCCUCGACCGACCAAACCUCCCGCAUCAGACAUCAUCCUACGGCUCCCAGCCCACGCCACAACCGAAUCCAAGGCAAUGGAAUGGCGGUGGCUGGCGGCACCGUAGCAGCGCUGGGGAACUGAGGCGGCAACGAGAGCUCGGCUGAUUCGGUUUAGGAUUUACUGGUGUGAACUCUAGGCGCGCGCGCGCACAGAGUGAGCGAGUGUGUGUGAGAGUCUGAGAGAGAGAGAGAGAGAGAGAGAGAGAGAGAGAGAGUGAGAGAGAGAGGGAGAUGGGGGGACCGUACCGGAUCCAAAGCGAAACGCAGCCAAGCUGCGAGAAAUCCAUCGACGGCGGCUCAGAUCCCGCGCCGGCCAGACCAGGCCCUUGACCGGAGCACCGCUCGGUCCCCAGCCCGCACGGCCGCGGACGCCCCCCGCAUCGGCGGCAGCCCCGAGGGGCCUCCAAGCCGAUGCGCGACGGCGCGGCGAGGGGGGCUGGCCCCGAGGAGCGGCGG
rnacentral:lncRNA from 1 species